GGAAUCUUCCGCAAUGGGCGAAAGCCUGACGGAGCAACGCCGCGUGAGUGAUGAAGGUCUUCGGAUCGUAAAACUCUGUUAUUAGGGAAGAACAAAUGUGUAAGUAACUAUGCACGUCUUGACGGUACCUAAUCAGAAAGCCACGGCUAACUACGUGCCAGCAGCCGCGGUAAUACGUAGGUGGCAAGCGUUGUCCGGAUUUAUUGGGCGUAAAGCGAGCGCAGGCGGUUUCUUAAGUCUGAUGUGAAAGCCCCCGGCUCAACCGGGGAGGGUCAUUGGAAACUGGGAGACUUGAGUGCAGAAGAGGAGAGUGGAAUUCCAUGUGUAGCGGUGAAAUGCGUAGAUAUAUGGAGGAACACCAGUGGCGAAGGCGGCUCUCUGGUCUGUAACUGACGCUGAGGCUCGAAAGCGUGGGGAGCAAACA
rnacentral:rRNA from 1 species